rnacentral:rRNA from 1 species
AGUGAACGCUGGCGGUAGGCCUAACACAUGCAAGUCGAACGGCAGCACAGUAAGAGCUUGCUCUUACGGGUGGCGAGUGGCGGACGGGUGAGGAAUACAUCGGAAUCUACUUUUUCGUGGGGGAUAACGUAGGGAAACUUACGCUAAUACCGCAUACGACCUACGGGUGAAAGCAGGGGAUCUUCGGACCUUGCGCGAUUGAAUGAGCCGAUGUCGGAUUAGCUAGUUGGCGGGGUAAAGGCCCACCAAGGCGACGAUCCGUAGCUGGUCUGAGAGGAGGAUCAGCCACACUGGAACUGAGACACGGUCCAGACUCCUACGGGAGGCGGCAGUGGGGAAUAUUGGACAAUGGGCGCAAGCCUGAUCCAGCCAUACCGCGUGGGUGAAGAGGGCCUUCGGGUUGUAAAGCCCUUUUGUUGGGAAAGAAAAGCAGCAGGUUAAUACCCCGCUGUUCUGACGGUACCCAAAGAAUAAGCACCGGCUAACUUCGUG